UACGUAGGCAGCAAGCGUUGUUCGGAGUUACUGGGCGUAAAGGGUGCGUAGGCGGCUUUUUAAGUUUGGUGUGAAAUCUCCCGGCUCAACUGGGAGGGUGCGCCGAAUACUGAGAGGCUAGAGUGUGGGAGAGGAAAGUGGAAUUCCUGGUGUAGUGGUGAAAUGCGUAGAUAUCAGGAGGAACACCGGUGGUGUAAACGGCUUUCUGGACCAUAACUGACGCUGAGGCACGAAAGCGUGGGUAGCAAACAGG
rnacentral:rRNA from 1 species